UACGAAGGGGGCUAGCGUUGCUCGGAAUGACUGGGCGUAAAGGGCGCGUAGGCGGCUGUGGCAGUCAGAUGUGAAAUUCCUGGGCUCAACCUUGGAAUUGCCUUUGAUACUGGCUGUCUUGAGUUCGGGAGAGGUGAGUGGAAUGCCGAGUGUAGAGGUGAAAUUCGUAGAUAUUCGGCGGAACACCAGUGGCGAAGGCGACUCACUGGCCCGAUACUGACGCUGAGGCGCGAAAGCGUGGGGAGCAAACAGG
rnacentral:rRNA from 1 species